UCGAUGGCUUUACUGUCUCUUACUUCCAAUYSGKGRAAUUGACCUUCCCGUGAAGAGGCGGGAAUAUGACAAUAAGACGAGAAGACCCUAUGGAGCUUUAAUUAACCGACCCAAAGAGAUCUUGAUAAUCAACCGACAGGGAUAACAUACCUCUACCAUGGGCCGACAAUUUAGGUUGGGGUGACCUCGGAGAAUAAAACAACCUCCGAGUGAUUUAAAUCUAGACUAACUAGUCGAAAGUACUACAUCACUUAUUGAUCCAAAAACUUGAUCAACGGAACAAGUUACCCCUAGGGAWAACCAGSGSAWUCCUMYYUUAGAGUCCAUAUCGACAAUAGGAUUGCG
rnacentral:rRNA from 1 species